UUCAAUGUCUAAUUCUAUAUUCAAAAUAUCAUAAUCCUAUUGGUCAGUAACAUCUCCGAUUUUCUCGGGUUCAGAACAAGCUCUUCAGUUGUCGUCACCAGAAGUUAUAGUUUUGAAAACUUAAAUAUGGUUUCACCGCUGGAAAAGAACAAGGCACGACCUGUAAGACCAGAGGAUCCCAUAUUGGAUCGUGCCUUUGAGCAUGCAGAUUUGCUAUAUUCACGUCAGAAGGCCCAUGAACUAAGGGAGGCAAUGAGAAAAAUUAUACAUCGUAUGGGAAUACCCGAAGAUGCACAUAUUCAACCAAAUCCACAGAUGCAGUAAGAUAAUUAAAGGGUUAAUAGCAAAAGGAGAAAGGGGUCGAGGAUGAAGUUGAAGGAGGUGAAACUAGGAAGAAUUCAAGAUAGAAGAAGAAGAAACCGGGAAGGUUUCAAGAUAGAAGGAGGAGGGAUUCAAGAGCAGAAAGUUUCCAAGGGGAGCAAGUCAGAAUCAGCUUAAAACAAUCACCUAUUGACCACAUAUUGAAAUCAAGAAGAAAGAAUACAGAAAACUGAAAGGAAGCUGAAGAAAGUCCCCCAGAAUUGGUCACAUAUUGUCAUCCUAUGAAGAAUAUAUACUAUAUACUCUUGAAAAACUACUUCAUAAAAAAAAAACACCAUAAAGAAACCCCCAAAAACAAGAAUCAUA